AACAAAACCAAAAGGUUCCUUAACUCAGAUUUCAGUCCUGACUUCUUUGUCGUUGUUAAGUUUUUAUUGUUGUUUCGUUAUGCAGCUCUCACUGCACUGGGAUUCACUAUGUAGACCAGGGUGGCCUCAGACUCUCAGAAGUCUGUCUGCCUCCUAUGUAACAGAAGUAAAGGCGUGUACCAUCAAGCACACCCUGCUCCUUUAAAGAAAGAUUUGUAUUUGGUGUGUGUAUAUGUGUUGUUUUGCCGGCAUUUAUAUAUUAUGCAUUUAGUGCCUGCCCAGUGCCUGUGGAAGCCAGAAGAUGGAGUUGGAUCCCUGGGAACUGGUGUUACAGGGGGUUGUGAGCCACUGGGUGGAUGCUGAGAACUGACUCUGGGACCUCAGCAAACACAGCAAGAGAGCCAUCUACUGAGCCAUCUUUCCAGACCCUUCCUUCUUUUUAUAUUUUUAAAAACCUGGAUCUCAGGUUUUUUUCUAGUCGUUGUUGUGAAUUCUGUCAAAGUUCCAUAGAUGUGAUUCUUGUAGUGAUCAUAGAAAGAGUAUUGAAAGAUGUCGAGUAGUCACCGGCUGUUCUAAUUAGGCUGCCCUGCCUCUAUAAUAAAACACUGACCAAACCAACCUGGGGAGGAAAGGGGUUACCUAGAUUAAACUUCCAUGUUGCAAUCAUCAUUCAGGGAAGGCAGGUCAGGAAUUCAAGGCAAGAACUGAGACAGGCCAGGGAGGACACUGCUUGCUCGCUCGCUCUUGGUGUGCUCAGGAUCACCGGCCCAGGAGUAGCGUUGCCCAUAAUGCACUUGGGACCUUUUGAAUCAAUCAUUAAUC
ensembl:sense_intronic Gm15472 predicted gene 15472